CUGUAACCCCUAAAGAUGGAAAAUUCCAUAACACUAUUAUGGUAACACCAACACAUAUGAGUUCAACUGUUCACAUAAUGACUACUGAUUUAUUCUUUCUGUGAUAAGUAAUGAAUAGAAGUAUAGCAUUAAAAAGGUUUUUGGAUGCAGUUGCUCUUUUAUUCACAUCACAACUAUGCAAAGAAAGUGAUAAGUGUGAGGAGUUUAGUCAUCACAAAGGAAGAACUAGGUGCGCAGUCUAUUUUACACGUAAUACACGACAAAGUGAACUUACAUUCCCUAUGUACAACAAAAGAUGCACAUUUUUGGCAAAUUACUCAAAUUACUCAGAAGAGAAAUCAAGUAUCCAUAACUUGUCACUUUGUCAAGUAAUUACAUAAAUUUACUCAUUUGUCGACAGUAAAAAUACGUUAAUUCGUUUAAACUCAUUAUUGUUAUUUAUUCAUUGCAGCUCUGUCAAAAAUAUCUAACAACGCCAAAGCCAUUUUCUGUAUUUAAAACGUGUAGAAAUGAAUUUUUAAAAAACAAGGUUUUGUUAAACUACAGUCAGCCUGAGGUUUGUAGUCAUUUACUUAUCAUCACCAGCUAACGUUAGCUUUAGUCAAAAGGACUGCACACAGCAGCAUACUCACAGUGAAACUGCGGGAUUCACACCAUGGUUCACACCCUCCCACCUCCGGAAAUAAACCCAGCUGCACCACUUGAGUCUGAAGAAAGCCAAAGUAACAUUGUUUGAGGUGUCUUCACCCGAGAUGCUGGACCCUUUCAAGAGGCCAAGCUGUCUGUCAGUGGGAGGAACGCUAUGAUCAGGAUUCACUGUCAACAGCUGCUCACACAGGCAAUGUGUAAUGUCUUAUAAAGGGAUGAUCUCCAGUUCAGUCAGUAAAUAGAAGGUGCUUUGUGUUUUUCAGAUCUAUCUAAAGUACCUGCUGGGAAAGAAUCUGAGAAGGCACCUGGACUUUGUUAUAGCCCAGCUGGCCUAUGAGCCCCACAGGGGCAGGGAGUCUGUGCUGGAGAUGCUGGCAUACACCUUCCAGACUUGCCCUAAGAACCUGUUGUUGCAGCACAGUGGCUUGUUCUUUGCCCUGCUGGCCUUGGUUGUGGUCACUGACAACUUGGUAUGCUGUAAGAAAAUGGCCAUCAAGGCCUUGCUGGCCUAACUGGACCUGAACCACCAGAACACCUUGUUCUCCCUCGUCAACACCAGCUGAAUGCAGAAAAAGCCAGCCUGCGGCGUCUCGGGGCUCAGGUCUGUGGUCUGUUUGUGGAGCGGGUGGAGGAGAAUUUUGCCCGUCAUGUGGACGACCUGCUGCUGGAGAGAGUGAUCAACUGAGACAACUAUGAAGACCGCCUCACUGCUCUUCGGCCAGCUGUUUGGAGAGGAGAGGGAGCUGGCGAUUAACCUCAGCAGGGAGCCACGGCCUUCAUCAACAACGACCUGGACAAGAGAUGAGAGACUUAGCGUUAUCUUUCUGUCAUCAGCUACAGUCCAAGUUCCUGGACACGGCAUCAGGAGAACAGGCGCACAAAACUCACUGCAUUUCAAACACAUUUCAGCAAAUCAUGCUGAUUACAUUUGACUUGACUACAUUUGAUAAUACACUCUGCCCCUAAAAGUGAUCAUCAAGAACCUACUCUUUGUUAGAGAUGGUGCAACGAUUUAUGGAGGAGCCAUCCAAGAGACCCGGGUCCACAGAUGUGUUGAAAGUAUCAAAUCUCUCUUAUGUUAAUAUGCUGUAAGAAACUGUCAGUUUUUAUACCGGGAUUUGUUAUUUUUUAGAUGUAGGCCUAUUUGUUAUUGUUUUCAUUUUAUCUGAUUUUAAAUGGAAUUCAUUAUUUGAAAAGGCUUUGUCAACAUAUUGUGGCAAGUUUGAGUUUGUGAAAACUGGUGAAUAAAAGUACUGUGAACCCAUAACU